rnacentral:rRNA from 1 species
GUCGAACGGCAGCGCGGGCUUCGGCCUGGCGGCGAGUGGCGAACGGGUGAGUAAUACAUCGGAACGUGCCCUGUCGUGGGGGAUAACUAGUCGAAAGAUUAGCUAAUACCGCAUACGACCUGAGGGUGAAAGCGGGGGACCGCAAGGCCUCGCGCGAUAGGAGCGGCCGAUGUCUGAUUAGCUAGUUGGUGGGGUAAAGGCCUACCAAGGCGACGAUCAGUAGCUGGUCUGAGAGGACGAUCAGCCACACUGGGACUGAGACACGGCCCAGACUCCUACGGGAGGCAGCAGUGGGGAAUUUUGGACAAUGGGGGCAACCCUGAUCCAGCAAUGCCGCGUGUGUGAAGAAGGCCUUCGGGUUGUAAAGCACUUUUGUCCGGAAAGAAAUGGCCCUGGCUAAUACCCGGGGUCGAUGACGGUACCGGAAGAAUAAGCACCGGCUAACUACGUGCCAGCAGCCGCGGUAAUACGUAGGGUGCGAGCGUUAAUCGGAAUUACUGGGCGUAAAGCGUGCGCAGGCGGUUUGAUAAGACAGGCGUGAAAUCCCCGGGCUCAACCUGGGAAUGGCGCUUGUGACUGUCAGGCUAGAGUGCGUCAGAGGGGGGUAGAAUUCCACGUGUAGCAGUGAAAUGCGUAGAGAUGUGGAGGAAUACCGAUGGCGAAGGCAGCCCCCUGGGACGUGACUGACGCUCAUGCACGAAAGCGUGGGGAGCAAACAGGAUUAGAUACCCUGGUAGUCACGCCCUAAACGAUGUCACUAGUGUUGGGGAUUCAUUUCUUCAGUAACGUAGCUAACGCGUGAAGUUGACCGCCUGGGGAGUACGGUCGCAAGAUUAAAACUCAAAGGAAUUGACGGGGACCCGCACAAGCGGUGGAUGAUGUGGAUUAAUUCGAUGCAACGCGAAAAACCUUACCUACCCUUGACAUGCCACUAACGAAGCAGAGAUGCAUUAGGUGCCCGAAAGGGAAAGUGGACACAGGUGCUGCAUGGCUGUCGUCAGCCUCGUGUCGGGGAGAUGUUGGGUUAAGUCCCGCAACGAGCGCAACCUUUGUCUCUAGUUGCUACGCAAGGAGCACUCUAGAGAGACUGCGGGUGACAAACCGGAGGAAGGUGGGGAUGACGUCAAGUCCUCAUGGCCUUAAUGGGUAGGGCUUCACACGUCAUACAAUGGUGCGUACAGAGGGUUGCAAACCCGCGAGGGGGAGCUAAUCCCAGAAAACGCAUCGUAGUCCGGAUCGUAGUCUGCAACUCGACUACGUGAAGCUGGAAUCGC